GUGACAUGCUGCGUCCAGGGAUGACUGGAUGACUGUGACGGGUGACAUGCUGCGUCCAGGGAUGACUGUAUGACGGGUGACAUGCUGUGUCCAGGGAUGACUGUAUGACGGUGACGGAUGACAUGCUGCGUCCAGGGAUGACUGUAUGACGGGUGACAUGCUGCAUCCAGGGAUGACUGGAUGACUGUGACGGGUGACAUGCUGUGUCCAGGGAGGACUGUAUCACAGGUGACGGGUGACAUGCUGCAUCCAGGGAUGACUGUAUGACGGGUGACAUGCUGCAUCCAGGGAUGACUGUAUGACGGGUGACAUGCUGCAUCCAGGGAUGACUGUAUGACGGGUGACAUGCUGCAUCCAGGGAUGACUGUAUGACGGGUGA